rnacentral:lncRNA from 1 species
GCUAGACUUCUUGUGCCUGUGUAUCUUUCAAUAAAUGCAGGCAGAGGAAAGAAAAAAAAUGAAUAUUUAUAAUACCUUUAGUUUUGUCAAGUUAAUUAAUAGGUAAUUAUUUUGAAAAUGCCACCAGAACAGCAGUUUGCAGAAAAAGACUGUUAAAAACUGAAGGCUGAGGCCUUCUAUAUAUUGUGGGCUUCCAGGUACGUCGUAUUUUACCCAGUAAUGAUGUAGGAAUGAUCCUCGUAUAUUGUUGAAUUAUCUCUAGACAGUCAAGCUUC